ACAGGUAAAAAAUAAAUAAACUAACACAAAUUAGUUGCAUGAAUGUACUAAAAGUAAACAGAGACAUAGUAGAAUCGAACAGGUUAUUUCAUCAGAUUUGAUUCCAGUAAAGCAAAGAGAUGUCUGAAGUGACCAAGUAAAGGAUCCAAAUCCUACAUCCAUGACCUUUUGGGAAGAAAAAGAAUAACGAGAGGGCAUAAAAUAGGAAAAGGAGAAGGCAAAUUUUAUCAUCCACCUUUCCCAGUGUCCAUUAAAUCAUCCAAAAGGGAAAAAUGAUAUCCAUCUUUGCUUAUUUUUUUCUCUCCCAACAUUUCCAGAGAAUGAAAUCAAAAUAUAUUAAAGAGUAGCUUAUAUAUUUGUUACUUUUUCUUUUUUUGGAGAAAAUAUAUAUAUAUUUGUUACUUAUUAGUAAGUCAAUGUCAAACAUGAGACACCCCUCGGUUGUAUGAAAUGAAGGAGAUGUUACAAGACCCAAAAGGUUGAUUCAAUAGCUCAUUACUGGAAAUAAUCAUAUGGUAAAUAAUAUAUUUUUGUUCUACUGACUCCCUAAAAAAUUUUAUAUCAGUUAACCAGGUGAUUUCAUUUCUGACUGCCAAAAAAAGUUAGCCACGUGAUGCCACCUGAAAACAUUACUGAUAGUUCUAGGAAGUUGUAAAUUUACAGCUUAGCUUCUUAAACAAAAAUAUAGAAAUGCUAAAAAA